rnacentral:rRNA from 1 species
GAUGAACGCUGGCGGCGUGCCUAAUACAUGCAAGUCGAGCGGACAGACGAGGAGCUUGCUCCUCUGACGUUAGCGGCAGGCGGGUGUGUAACACGUGUAUAACCUACCUAUCAGACUGGGAUAAUUUCGAGAAACCGGAGCUUAUCGCGGAUAAUCUAUUGAACCGCAUUGUUCAAUAGUGAAAGACGGCUUUGCGGGCUCUUCUCGCUGCUUCCGCGCCGGAUUAGCUGGUUGGUACGGUAAUGGCUUACCACGGCGACGAUGCGUAGCCGACGUGAGAGAGUGAUCGGCCACACUGGAGCUGAGACACGGUCCAGACUCCUACGGGAGGCAGCAGUAGGGAAUCGGACGCAGUGGGCGGAAGCCUGACGGAGCAACGGCGCGUGAGUGAUGAAGGUCUUCGGAUCGUAAAACUCUGUUAUGAGGGAUGAACAAAUGUGUAAGUAACUAUGCACUUCUUGACGGUACCUAAUCAGAAAGCCACGGCUAACUACGUG